AUUGAACGCUGGCGGCAUGCUUUACACAUGCAAGUCGAACGGCAGCGGGGUAGUGCUUGCACUACUGUCCGGCGAGUGGCGAACGGGUGAGUAAUAUAUCGGAACGUACCGAGUAAUGGGGGAUAACCAAUCGAAGGAUUGGCUAAUACCGCAUACGUCCUACGGGAGAAAGCGGGGGAUCGCAAGACCUCGCGUUAUUCGAGCGGCCGAUAACUGAUUAGCUAGUUGGUGGGGUAAAGGCCUACCAAGGCGACGAUCAGUAGCGGGUCUGAGAGGACGAUCCGCCACACUGGUACUGAGACACGGCCCAGACUCCUACGGGUGGCAGCAGUGUUGUAUUGUGGACAAUGGGGGCAACCUUGAUCCAUCAUGCCGUGUGGUAUUGAAGAAGGCCUUCUUGUGAUAGUGCCUUUUGUUAGGUAGAAUUGUUAGUGUUAUUUGUCUUUUUUGCUGACGGUCUUAAAGAUAAUUGCCGUUAUCUCUUGUCAUCAGCCUUGGUGUAUAUGAUGGGUGUGAGUUUUAUUUUGUGUGUUUGGUGUGUGAGUGUGUGUGCUGUGUGUUGUUUUUUGGUAUUUUUAGUCCUGUGCUGAUCCUGUGAAGGUGGUGCUUGAUUGUGUGUUUUGAUGUGUGUGGAGUUUGUUGUAAAUGGUGGCAUUUGAUGUUGUGUAGUUGUGAUAUAUGUAGAUGUAUUGUGUGUGUAUGUCUUGUGUGUGUAGUGUGUGUGUGUGUGUGUUUACCUGGUUGUUGACUUGUGUGAUGUUGUUUGAUAUGUUUGUGUGUGUAGAUGUCGUGUUUGUUGUGUGGUGAUGUAGUGUGCUACUGUUGGUGUGAAUAUGAAGAUAGUGAUGUGUGUGCUAUGUUAAUUGUUGUGUUGUUGCUUUUGUUUGAUGUGUAUGUUUGUCUUGCAUGCUGUCUGACGUGUAGUUAGUUUGAUGGUGAUGUUGGAGUGUGCUACUGAUGCUGCCUAUUUUUGCCCG
rnacentral:rRNA from 1 species